AGGCGGGAUAGGGCGGGGCGGGGCGCCAAUCAGAGCCGGGCGGCCUCUCACCUGGGCGCUGCUGGGCUCUGGCGUCUCUGGCCUGGCUCUGUCGAGUUCGGCUCGCUGCGGGGAGCGCCAAGCAGGCCCGGCGGGGCGGAGACCAGUCAUGGCGGGGCCCGCUGCUGCUGCCAGGAGCCUACUCUGCGUCUGUCUCUGCGCGGCAUCCUGGUCCUUAAUAUCGGGCCAGAACACAGUUGUCCAAGUUCCAGAGAACAGCGCUGCAACCUUGCCGUGUCAAGCCGCGAAGACGGCGAGUACACCCAAUCGUCUGGAGUGGAAGUUCCAGAAGAGCGGGACGACGACUGUGAUGCUGGUCUAUCAUGAAAAGCAGUUCUCAGAUGACUACAGGGACCGGGCCAUAUUCUAUCCCUACGAGAUUCAGCUCAAAGCCGUCACUCGCAAAGACAACGGGACGUAUACCUGUGAGGUCCUCGUCGGCAGUAAACUUCAGUUGUCAACUGUUGAGCUGGUUGUUGAAGUGCCGCCCUCCAAGCCGAAGGCCCACGUCCCCUCCUCGGUCAUCAUCGGCAACGCGGCGGUCUUGACCUGCGAGGAGACGGAGGGCUCCCCGCGCCCCGUCUUCCGGUGGUACAAAGACGGGGAUCUGCUGCCCACCGACCCGAAGAGCAGCUCCAAGUUCAAGAACUCCUCCUACACGCUGGACCCCAGGACGGGAGUGCUGACCUUUGACCCUGCAACCGCCUUCGAUGCCGGAGAUUAUUAUUGCGAGGCGGACAACAAAAUCGGGUCUUCCCAGAUCUCGGAUGUUGCCCGCAUGCAGCUGAGUGAAGUGAACGUGGGUGGCAUCGUGGCAGCCGUCGUGGUGCUCCUCAUCAUCCUGGGGCUGGUAGCCUUCGGGGUUUGGUUCGCCUACAGACGGGGCUACUUCAGCAGAAGAAAAGAGUGAGUAGAUACUUGUCUACUUCCCGGUUGAGGUUGCUUCUUCAGUCUUCCACCCACAUAAGCAUUACCUGCCUCUGCCCUCUUGCCAUAAUUUAUUUCUUGUACCCUUAUACUGCCUUUCUGCCUUGACCCAAGCAGUCUGCAGUCUUGAAAAAUAAACCAACUACAGUGGUGUAUUUAUCAGAAAGAAAUAAGUUGUUAUUAAACUCAGAGUUAUUUGGGUAUCUAAAAACAAGAGGAGCAAUAUUUAUUUUUAUUAUUUUAUUUUUGUUUUAUCUUUCGAUUUAUAUACCGAUUGUUUUAUCUUUCGAUUUAUAUACUGCCCUUCCAAAGUGGCUCAGGGUGGUUUUCAACAAGGUAAAAACAAAACCAGUGAACAGUUAAAAUCAAAACUAUAAGAACAGAAUAAAACCCAUUCAAGAAUUCAACAGCUAAAAAACCUGUGGAGAACCAGGGCAACCCUUUAAAACAAUUUUAGAACAAUUUUUAAAUCAUUUAAAACCCUGGAAGGCCAGGCCAAACAGAUAGGUUUUAAGGGCUCUCCUGAAGGACAGGACGAUAUAUAAUAGUUUUAUAUCUAUAAGGUACAAUGAUAAAUAUAAUUGUAAUAUCAAAUCUAGAUCUGUAAGGUUUGAUUUUGGGGUGCAGGGUUAUGUGUUACAUCUUUACAGCACUGUGAGUGCUUCAGAGAUGGAGAGAGAGAGAGAGAGAGAGAGAAAAGAAUGAUCCCUGCUAUAUUCGGGCUCUGCUUAGGCGCUCUGGGGCUGAUGUUAUCCUCUCUUCUAGACUGAACACCUUCUUUCUUGCCAAAUGCAUCUCUGAAGGAGUAUGGGGCCGGCACCCAUCUGGGACUCCAGUGAAAUCUUCCAAUCCCAGAGGGUGGUGGGAGGCGCCCCAGGAACCCUCCACCACUGUUCCCUCUAGCAGGAACAUAGGAAGCUGCCACAUACUGAGUCAGACCAUUGGUCUAUCUAGCUCUGUAUCGUCUUCACAGACUGGCAGCAGCUUCUCCAAGGUUGCAGGCAGGGGUCUUUCUCUUUCAGCCCUCUCUUGGAGAUGCUGCCAGGGAGGGGACUUGGGACCUUCUGCUCUCCCCAGAGCAGCUCCAUCCCCUGAGGGGAAGAUCUGGGAUUCCCAGAUGUUGUUCACUACAACUCCCAACAUCCCCAGUUGCAAUGGCCUUUGGCUGGGGAUUAUGGGAGUUGUAGUCAACAACAUCUGGGAAUCCCCGUUAGAGGGAACACGGCUUUUCUCUCUUUCUCUCUCUCUCUCUCUCCCUCCCUCCCUGGAAUAAUGUGGCUUUUAACUUCCCUGUCUCUUUCCGCCUCCCGUUUAGCACCAGCAGUAAGAAGGUCAUUUACAGCCAGCCUUCCAACCGGAGUGACGGUGAAUUUAAACAGACAUCUUCCUUCUUGGUUUGAUCUCUGCCCUGGUACUUCCUUGACACCAGUGUUCAAGUUCUGCCUCUUCCUCCACCUUCUCCCAGACUGUUGUAAAUAUUCUUCAUGAAAAAGUGUGUGAUUUUAAAAUGUUUUUUUAAAAAGUAGUUUGUCGGUACAAUUUGUUUUGGAACCCAAGCCUUAAGAUAAACCAACCCAUAUAGCAUCGUUCUGUCGAAGGACCUCCUUUUAACCUUAAUGCCCAGAUGGUGGCUUCAUCAAUACCACAAGAGAGCUGCUGGGAUAUGGAAUAUUUGACUGAUCUUUGGGCCACCAGGUUGCUAAAGAGCCUUUUGGGGCUCUGCGAACAUCCCGUGAUACAGAGCAGACGAGAGAAGGAAAGGGAGGGAAGUGACUGGAAAUUCAGCUGCUGGACAAGACACUGUUAGAGACCAUUUUCCCCUCUUCCAAAGAGAUGGAAAUGAGUUACCAGAAAGCUGAGCUGCUCCCUUAGAUGCAACAGUGCAACUUUUUUGAUGAUUAAAAGUGGCACUACCAUGUUAGAUCAGAUCUCCUUCCCCACAAUGCUUUUAAUUAACCCACGGAUCUAAACGGUGUCUCCCUCUCUGCAGAAUCUGGCACAGAAUUCAAUAAAAACUCAAACCAUUGAAAUGGUCAGGCUUUUGCCUGCUUAACUGUGUUGGAUUGGGGCCUGCGUGGGCGUAAAGAACUCUCUUGUUGGCCUGUGUAUCCUGAAGUUGCUACCAUGUGUGCUUUUAAAGCACAUAUUUGUAAUGUAUGAUUUUAUCUGCAGCAGACUGAAUUGGAAAUAAAAUGUUGUUUUGUUUGA